ensembl:lncRNA
GUUUUUUUUGUCGUUUUUAUAUUGGUAGUUUUUUCAUGACUGCCAAUAAAAAGCAACAGUGUUACCCCUUAUGUUUUUUUUCGGGGGCUCAUUCAUGUUACGCCCCAGUCUAGGGGUGCCUAGGGCCUAACAUGAAUGAGCCCCCGUCUUCCCCAACUCCCAAGUAGCCACAACCCAAAUCAUCAGUUGUGUGAAGGAAAGAUUUAUUUAUGCAAGGUAGUAAAUAAAUCUAUAGAUAUACAAGAUAAACUUCAGGGCGGACCAAGGCCAAAAUAACAAAUAACACAAACCUAUCUAGAAAGUAAGAAACUAGCCUUAAGAAAACAAACUACAAAUCUUACCUCCCUAUCUAAGUAAAACAAGAGAAAACACCGUAAACAAAACUGGCAGUCCACCCUUACGAUCACACACGUUAACUAUCAACUAUUAGGUAAUGUCCCACGAGACCGACGACAAAGUGGCGGUUGGAAGAGGAAGAGGACGGGGGAAAAACCGGCUGCCCCCAGACGGCCGCCAUCUUGGCUCCUUUGUAGUGGUUAGUUCCCGGCUGCAGCCAACCACAGGCCAGGGCUCGAACCUCGUCCACCAAUCAUCUCCGCGUCCCGGCACACUCAUUUAUGCAUGUCAGGAGAAAGAGAAAAAAGCACAGGGCACACAAGCACACAGCAGACCGAACACAAGAAAUGACCAUAGUCAUAACACGACCAAAAAAAAACAAGUGUUACCCCUUAUGUUUUUUUUCAUGACGACCAAUAAAAAACCAGUGUUACCCAUUAUGUUUUUUUCAUGACGACCAAUAAAAAACGACAGUGUUACCCCUUAUGUUUUUUUCAUGACGACUAAUAAAAAACAGUGUUACCCCUUAUGUUUUUUUCAUGACGACUAAUAAAAAACAACAGUGUUACCCCUUAUGUUUUUUUUCAUGACGACCAAUCAAAAACCUAACAGUGUUACCCCUUAUGUUUUUUCCAUGACGACCAAUAAAAAAACUAGUGUUACCCCUUAUGUUUUUUUUUUGUCAUUUUUUUAUUGGUAGUUUUUUCAUGACUACCAAUAAAAAGCACCAGUGUUACCCCUUAUGUUUUUUUUCAUGACGACCAAUAAAAAACGACAGUGUUACCCCUUAUGUUUUAUUUCAUGAGGACCAAUAAAAAACAAGAGUGUAACCCCUAAUGUUUUUUUUCAUGACGACCAAUAAAAAACGACAGUGUUACCCCUUAUGUUUUUUUUCAUGACGACCAAUAAAAAACCACAAUGUUACCCCUUAUGUUUUUUUCCAUGAUGACCGAUAAAAAACCACAGUGUUACCCCUUAUGUUUUUUUUCAUGACGACCAAUAAAAAACGACAGUGUUACCCCUUAUGUUUUUUUUCAUGACGACUAAUAAAAAACGACAGUGUUACCCCUUAUGUUUUUUUUCAUGAAGACCAAUAAAAAACGACAGUGUUACCCCUUAUGUUUUUUUUCAUGACGACCAAUUAAAAACGACAGUGUAACCCCUUAUGUUUUUUUUCAUUGUCGUUUUGACCAAUUAAAAACGACAGUGUAACCCCUUAUGUUUUUUUUCAUGACUACCAAUAAAAAACAACAGCGUUACCCCUUAUGUUUUUUUUCAUGACGACCAAUAAAAAACGACAGUGUUACCCCUUAUGUUUUUUUCAUGACGACCAAUAAAAAACAAGUGUUACCCCUUAUUUUUUUUUUCAUGACGACCAAUAAAAACGACAGUUGUUACCCCUUAUGUUUUUUUUUUCAUGACGACCAAUAAAAAACCACAGUGUUACCCCUUAUGUUUUUUUCAUGACGACCAAUAAAAAACCACAAUGUUACCCCUUAUUUAUUUUUUCAUGACGACCAAUUAAAAACGACAGUGUUACCCCUCAUGUUUUUUUUCAUGACCACCAAUAAAAAACAACAGUGUCACCCCUUAUGUUUUUUUCCAUGAUGACCGAUAAAAAACCACAGUGUUACCCCUUAUGUUUUUUUCAUGACGACCAAUAAAAAACGACAGUGUUACCCCUUAUGUUUUAUUGCAUGAAGACCAAUGAAAAACAAUAGUGUAACCCCUUAUGUUUUUUUUCAUGAUUUACCGAUAAAAA